CUCCAGGCCAGCAAGGCUGGCCUUAACUGUAAGGCCUUCCUCUCUACCUUCAGAUACCAGAGAAAUGAAUGUGUUCUCUUCACAGGGAUUGGGCAAGGGAAGACAAAAACAUACUGUCUGGCAACAGAAGACUGAUCAUACAAUGAAAGGCAGUAUACUGUAAUGGCUAAGAACAAAGUUUCUGGACUCAGAACUAGCAUCAGAUCAGAUCUGCCACUUCUUGGACA